CCUGCCAACAGACGGGGCGGAGAGCUGAGCACGAGGUGCCGGGGGCAACCCCCCCUUGAGUUACCUGACCCCCUGCUUGUGUCAAGUAAGACCUCCAGGACCUGAGAUUAAAGUGGGGCCCACGACAGAGGUUCAGUCCUGGAAGAGCAGCCCUGCCCUUUCCAGACCAAAGAAAACAAGUAAAGCGGGUUUUGUACAGAGACCUGGAGCACGGGACAGGUCCCCAGUUCCUGAUACUGACUUCCUGCUUUUGGCCAUGGCUCUUCCUCCCUGCAAGUCCUCGUGCUUCAGAACUACAAGUCCUCGUGCUUCAGAACUACAAGGGGAUGCUCAGUAGACACCAACCGGAACGUGAGAACGCCACACGGGCAACAUUCCCAGGACACUAGCGAACUCUUGACUGUCUGAAGCAGCAGUGGGAGUGGGGGAGUCCACGGAAAGCAUGGAGACGAUCUACCGAUACUCUGAGAACCUCAACGGAAACGUUCCCUGAUGAGCCUCCCAGACAGUCAGAGCCAGCAGGACAUAGCCUUCAUGUCCCAAGGUGAAUUUCAUUUCUUUUUCCCUUUCAUUCCACCUGUGACAGGAGUGAGCCACUCUCAGGUCAGUCAAAGUGGGCAGGAACACAAUAGGCCACAGAGGGCUGAGUUGGCCAUGAGCUGGACUCUGGGCCAUCCAGAGUUGGCCGUGUCGCUAAGGUGCUAAAAACAACCAAGCGGGUCAAUGUCAAGGGCUCCGGAGACCCGGGCCGUUACCU